UGACAAGAGAAGGAGGUUCACACAGACUCAGAAGAAUGAAAAGAGUUUGGCUUUUUCUAUUUGCUUGUAUCUUUGUUGUCGUGUGUGUAUCUGUGUUUGUGUAUUUAUAUGUAGCCAAAAAUAAUGACGACAAAAACUAUAAAAGUCAUUCAGUUAAUACUGAUGUUGAAGUUACAUUCGAACUUGAUAAUGAAUAUGAUGGUGAUUAUGAGUAUGACGAUCCACCAAAUGACACAACAACUCUCAAGAACAAUGUAUCAGCCACAGCUGAGUCUGUUGUUCCAGUUAUAUUCAAGGGUUAAAGUGAGGGGGAAUGGGGAGGAACGCAGUUCCGCCACCUCAGAUAAAUUAAUAAUAAAUACAUUCUUUCAUAUCAAUGAUGUAGCGCAAUGAUAUUGUUAAAAUAAAUAGUGAGUUAAUUUUUCGUGUGAGUAUGCUGUCCAACGAUGAGUCAUUUUUCCCCGUUGCACCGACACUGGAUUUUAGGGUUCCCUCAGCUGCUAAAUCCCACUUUAACCACUGGUUAUAUUCACACUUCAUGGUGAGGGUGAUGGCUAUGAUUAUGAGUAUACCAAUCAACCAGACGACACGGACCAUACCACAACUCUCAGGACUAGUCCCUCUACCAGCCCUUUAUGAUGAAUGAGACACCUGGGCAUGAGGAUCACCUUGAAGAUACACCUGCCUCCAUUUUAUUAACACAUAAGGAUUAUGUUGGCAGACGCGGACUGAUGCCCAGAGCCAGAUGAAGAAAACCACCAUCGGGAUCUUUGUAAUCAAACAUGAGGGUGCCAAUGCCUCCACUAGAAGAUGUAGACAUUAUAGUUGAAUCACUAACAAUGUAACAAAACUAAACAUGCUGUGUUUAGCAGAGAUAUUUUUCUGUUCAUUGCAUUUCUAUUUUACUAAAAAAUGUCCCUGAUGGAUUGAUGAGAAUGGAGACAAAGGUUGCUGCUAAAUAAAUGCAGAUUUGUUUUGAA